GCCUCCAGUGUGAGCCCAUCUUCAGAAUCCACACCAUGGGGUCCGCACUCCUUUGGGCUUCCGUUCUCAUUGCUGUCAAUGGUGCCUUGUGCCAAGUUCAGCUAAUGGAGUCUGGGGGAGGCUUGGUGCAACCUGGAGGAUCUCUGACCCUCUCCUGCAAAGCCUCUGGAUUUACCUUCACUGACUACAACAUGAACUGGGUCCGCCAGGCUGCAGGGAAGGGGCUGGAGUGGGUGGCAGAAGUGAGCAGUCCAUCUGGAUCAAACCAGUGGUACGCUCCAUCAGUUCAAGGAAGAUUCACAAUCUCCAGAGACAACCCGACCAACACAGUUUCUCUCAAAAUGACCAACCUGAAACCUGAAGACACAGCCAUGUAUUACUGUGCUAGACACACAGUUAAAAUUUAG